UUCCGGCUCACUGCUGUUGUGGAGAGCAGUAGCGUCACUCGCUAUGGCAGUACGGAGCAUCUCUUCCUCCUCCUGGCUUACCUCCUCCCUGUCCUCCAGCUCCUUCACAUAGGCGUGCUCCAGGUGGACAUCUCUCGUGCUGUGACUGCCACCAGAACUUUAUAAUCCCUUGAGUGUCCGGCUGAAAUGGUCUAAUACCCUCACAUACCUGUCCGGUGGUUCUGACGCUCACCAGGAUAGUCGCAGUGGUUGUUCGACUGGUGUGAAGUACUUAUGCUAAGUGGUGUGCGAUUCAUUCAAAACUUUUUCAAACUAGAUCAGAGGAAACUAAAAGAUGAGUGCAAGGCCCUGAUGAAGCACAACUGUGUGAAACAUGUUGGCUAGAUGCAAAAUCGAGUGUCUCGUUUGCCCAAUGCUCUUACGUCUAUGUAAAUUAACGUAUUAUGUAUAUUUUUAUAAGAUGUAUUAAAAUUGAUAUUUUUCAAACA